GCCUCUAUAGCUCAGUGGUUAGAGUGCGUCAUUGGUAAUGACGAGGUCCCGGGUUCAAAUCUCGGUAGAGGCU
rnacentral:tRNA from 1 species